GUGCUUGCUUCAGCAGCACAUAUACUAAAAUUGGAACAAUACAGAGAAGGUUAGCAUGGCAUCUGCACGAGGAUGACAUGUAAAUUCGUUAAGUGUUCCAAAUUUUU
rfam:Phalacrocorax carbo contig121601, whole genome shotgun sequence.